CUCACAGCAGCCUAAAUGUAAUCAUUUAUAGUCCUCAAUCUUGACAAAUUGGCACAAGACAGCAGAUGGAUUCAUAACUAAAUCUACCUGUGUCAGAACCUCUUCGUGGCUGUCAGUAGAUCUACAAGUAUACGCGGGAUUGCAAUAUGUAAACAGUGCCUUCAUUUUUAAGGCUGCAGGGGGGUCUUCUUUGCUCCAAAAAUACUUCAUUAAGAUGAAUUGAUUUUGGAGCUUAAAGGACCACUAUAGGCACCCUGACCACUUCAGCUUAAUGAAGUGGUCUGGGAACCAGGUCCAGCUAGGAUUAACC